rnacentral:rRNA from 1 species
AGCGGAUGAUGGGAGCUUGCUCCCGGAUUCAGCGGCGGACGGGUGAGUAAUGCCUAGGAAUCUGCCUGGUAGUGGGGGACAACGGUUUCGAAAGGAACGCUAAUACCGCAUACGUCCUACGGGAGAAAGCAGGGGACCUUCGGGCCUUGCGCUAUCAGAUGAGCCUAGGUCGGAUUAGCUAGUUGGUGGGGUAAAGGCCUACCAAGGCGACGAUCCGUAACUGGUCUGAGAGGAUGAUCAGUCACACUGGAACUGAGACACGGUCCAGACUCCUACGGGAGGCAGCAGUGGGGAAUAUUGGACAAUGGGCGAAAGCCUGAUCCAGCCAUGCCGCGUGUGUGAAGAAGGUCUUCGGAUUGUAAAGCACUUUAAGUUGGGAGGAAGGGCAGUAAGUUAAUACCUUGCUGUUUUGACGUUACCAACAGAAUAAGCACCGGCUAACUUCGUGCCAGCAGCCGCGGUAAUACGAAGGGUGCAAGCGUUAAUCGGAAUUACUGGGCGUAAAGCGCGCGUAGGUGGUUUGGUAAGAUGGAUGUGAAAUCCCCGGGCUCAACCUGGGAACUGCAUCCAUAACUGCCUGACUAGAGUACGGUAGAGGGUGGUGGAAUUUCCUGUGUAGCGGUGAAAUGCGUAGAUAUAGGAAGGAACACCAGUGGCGAAGGCGACCACCUGGACUGAUA